rnacentral:rRNA from 1 species
UAAAAAAAGGUAAGCUACUAAGAGCGAAUGGUGGAUGCCUUGACUGGUAAAGGCGAUGAAGGACGUACUAGACUGCGAUAAGCUACGGGGAGCUGUCAAGAAGCUUUGAUCCGUAGAUUUCCGAAUGGGGCAACCCAAUGUAUAGAGAUAUACAUUACCUAUAUAGGAGCGAACGAGGGGAAUUGAAACAUCUUAGUACCCUCAGGAAAAGAAAUCAAUAGAGAUUGCGUCAGUAGCGGCGAGCGAAAGCGCAAGAGGGCAAACCCAGUGCUUGCACUGGGGGUUGUAGGACUGCAAUGUGCAAGAGGUAAGUUUAGCAGAACAUUCUGGAAAGUAUAACCAUAGAGGGUGAUAGUCCCGUAUGCGAAAAACAAACCUUAGCUAGCAGUAUCCUGAGUAGGGCGGGACACGAGGAAUCCUGUCUGAAUCCGGGUCGACCACGAUCCAACCCUAAAUACUAAUACCAGAUCGAUAGUGCACAAGUACCGUGAGGGAAAGGUGAAAAGAACUGAGGUGAUCAGAGUGAAAUAGAACCUGAAACCAUUUGCUUACAAUCAUUCAGAGCCUUAUGUAGCAAUACAGGGUGAUGGACUGCCUUUUGCAUAAUGAGCCUGCGAGUUGUGGUGUCUGGCAAGGUUAAGCAAACGCGAAGCCGUAGCGAAAGCGAGUUUGAAUAGGGCGCUUAGUCAGAUGCUGCAGACCCGAAACGAAGUGAUCUAUCCAUGAGCAAGUUGAAGCUAGUGUAAGAACUAGUGGAGGACUGAACCCAUAGGCGUUGAAAAGCCCCGGGAUGACUUGUGGAUAGGGGUGAAAGGCCAAUCAAACUUCGUGAUAGCUGGUUCUCUCCGAAAUAUAUUUAGGUAUAGCGUUGUGUCGUAAUAUAAGGGGGUAGAGCACUGAAUGGGCUAGGGCAUACACCAAUGUACCAAACCCUAUCAAACUCCGAAUACCUUAUAUGUAAUCACAGCAGUCAGGCGGCGAGUGAUAAAAUCCGUCGUCAAGAGGGAAACAACCCAGACUACCAGCUAAGGUCCCUAAAUCUUACUUAAGUGGAAAACGAUGUGAAGUUACUUAAACAACCAGGAGGUUGGCUUAGAAGCAGCCAUCCUUUAAAGAAAGCGUAAUAGCUCACUGGUCUAGUGAUUUUGCGCGGAAAAUAUAACGGGGCUAAAGU